rnacentral:lncRNA from 1 species
UAAAAGCAACAGGAAGAAUUGCUCAGAUACCCGUGAGCGUAUAUAACUUGGGUCGUGUUAUAAAUGCUCUGGCUAAACCUAUUGAUGGGAGAGGCGAAAUUGUAGCUUCCGAAUCUCGCUUAAUUGAAUCUCCUGCUCCAAGUAGAAUUUCCAGGCGUUCCGUAUACGAACCUCUUCAAACAGGGCUUAUUGCUAUCGAUUCGAUGAUCCCUAUAGGGCGCGGUCAGCGAGAGUUCAUUAUUGGGGACAGACAGACUGGCAAAACAGCAGUAGCCACAGAUACAAUUCUCAAUCAAAAAGGGCAAGGUGUAAUAUGUGUUUAUGUAGCUAUCGGUCAAAGAGCAUCCUCCGUAGCUCAAGUAGUAACUACUUUCCAUGAGGAGGGGGCCAUGGAAUACACUAUUGUAGUAGCUGAAAUGGCGGAUUCACCUGCUACAUUACAAUACCUCGCUCCUUAUACGGGAGCAGCCCUGGCUGAGUAUUUUAUGUACCGCGAACGGCAUACUUUAAUAAUUUAUGAUGAUCUCUCCAAACAGGCACAAGCUUAUCGCCAAAUGUCCCUUCUAUUAAGAAGACCUCCCGGCCGUGAGGCUUAUCGAGGGGAUGUUUUUUAUUUGCAUUCACGCCUUUUAGAAAGAGCCGCUAAAUUAAAUUCUCUUUUAGGCGAAGGAAGUAUGACCGCUUUACCAAUAGUUGAGACUCAAUCUGGAGACGUUUCCGCCUAUAUUCCUACUAAUGUAAUCUCCAUUACAGAUGGACAAAUAUUCUUAUCUGCGGAUCUAUUCAAUGCCGGAAUUCGACCCGCUAUUAAUGUGGGUAUUUCUGUUUCCAGAGUAGGAUCCGCGGCUCAAAUUAAAGCCAUGAAACAAGUAGCUGGCAAAUCAAAAUUGGAACUAGCUCAAUUCGCAGAGUUACAAGCCUUUGCACAAUUCGCCUCUGCUCUCGAUAAAACAAGUCAGAAUCAAUUGGCAAGGGGUCGACGAUUAAGGGAAUUGCUUAAACAAUCCCAGGCAAAUCCUCUCCCAGUGGAAGAGCAGAUAGCUACUAUUUAUACCGGAACAAGCUUAUCGCCAAAUGUCCCUUCUAUUAAGAAGACCUCCCGGCCGUGAGGCUUAUCCAGGGGAUGUUUUUUAUUUGCAUUCACGCCUUUUAGAAAGAGCCGCUAAAUUAAAUUCUCUUUUAGGCGAAGGAAGUAUGACCGCUUUACCAAUAGUUGAGACUCAAUCUGGAGACGUUUCCGCCUAUAUUCCUACUAAUGUAAUCUCCAUUACAGAUGGACAAAUAUUCUUAUCUGCGGAUCUAUUCAAUGCCGGAAUUCGACCCGCUAUUAAUGUGGGUAUUUCUGUUUCCAGAGUAGGAUCCGCGGCUCAAAUUAAAGCCAUGAAACAAGUAGCUGGCAAAUCAAAAUUGGAACUAGCUCAAGUAGUAACUACUUUCCAUGAGGAGGGGGCCAUGGAAUACACUAUUGUAGUAGCUGAAAUGGCGGAUUCACCUGCUACAUUACAAUACCUCGCUCCUUAUACGGGAGCAGCCCUGGCUGAGUAUUUUAUGUACCGCGAACGGCAUACUUUAAUAAUUUAUGAUGAUCUCUCCAAACAGGCACAAGCUUAUCGCCAAAUGUCCCUUCUAUUAA